rnacentral:rRNA from 1 species
GGCACUGAGAGGCGAUGAAGGACGCAGCACGUUGCGAUAAGUCACGGGGAGCCGCGAGCAGGCUUUGAUCCGUGAAUCUCCGAAUGGGGCAACCCACCGCGCAAGCGGUAUCCCACACUGAAUCCAUAGGUGUGGGAGGCGAACCCGGCGAACUGAAACAUCUAAGUAGCCGGAGGAAAGGACAUCAACAGAGACUCCGCUAGUAGUGGCGAGCGAACGCGGACCAGGCCAGUCAGUCUAUCUACAUAACCGGAACCGUCUGGAAAGUCGGACCACAGUGGGUGAUAGUCCCGUAUGGGUAAACCGGAUAGACUGCUCGAGUAGGGCGGGACACGUGAA